GUGGGGAAUAUUGGACAAUGGGGGGAACCCUGAUCCAGCCAUGCCGCGUGUGUGAAGAAGGCCUUUUGGUUGUAAAGCACUUUAAGCGAGGAGGAGGCUACCGAGAUUAAUACUCUUGGAUAGUGGACGUUACUCGCAGAAUAAGCACCGGCUAACUCUGUGCCAGCAGCCGCGGUAAUACAGAGGGUGCAAGCGUUAAUCGGAUUUACUGGGCGUAAAGCGCGCGUAGGUGGCCAAUUAAGUCAAAUGUGAAAUCCCCGAGCUUAACUUGGGAAUUGCAUUCGAUACUGGUUGGCUAGAGUAUGGGAGAGGAUGGUAGAAUUCCAGGUGUAGCGGUGAAAUGCGUAGAGAUCUGGAGGAAUACCGAUGGCGAAGGCAGCCAUCUGGCCAAAUACUGACACUGAGGUGCGAAAGCAUGGGGAGCAAACAGGAUUAGAUACCCUUGUAGUCC
rnacentral:rRNA from 1 species